AAGCCCAGAAGGCGGCGGACACUCGCAUAAAGUCACGCAGUAGUACUCGGAGCCCGGGGUAGAACCUGGACUUCAAAUCUCUGCACUCCCGGCCGGGUGGUGGGCGCAUAUCCUGGGUAGCCUCUAGGAAGCGCUAGACACAUUUCUAGCCAGAGGAAGCUGCAGCCAGGCCUGGCAGUCUCCCCUGCUCCCUUCCACCAGCUUGGUUCCUGUUUCUGCUGGUCCUGGGAGCCCCCAGCAGAUGGACUGCCCUUAUCAGCCGGCUCCAGGCCAGAGGAGGAAUCCUCCGGUCACGUGUGGCUCUCUGGAGGGAGAGAGACCUCAUAAAUACAUACAGCCCACGCAGAGGAAGGGGGGAGGGUCAAGGGGAAAGAAACCUUGACAUUCUGGCGACUGGGCCAGGAUUAAAGUCCACCAGGCAUAGUCCUUAUUGGCUAUUUCUAUGAGGAAUCUCAAAUCCACAUGGCUUCCCUGGAUGACAACGCUGACUUUGACUAGCCCUGGGAUCUGGGGCAUUCCCAGUGUGCUGCUGGCUUGAUCCAGGCCUAAUCCUUUGCCCAGGACUGACCUUUCACAGUUUACAGAGCACUUUAUCUCCUGGCUCAGUGAAGUCUCACAGAACCCUCCAGAGAGAAGGGAGUUUAUCAUCACCCUCAAUUUACAGAUGAGGAAGCUGAGGCUGCGAUUGUAACUGACUGACUGCUGGCUACGCAGCUACAAGUGACCGAGUCCAGCCUGAAAGCCACAUAUAUUCUCCCACAAAAUCCAGAGCUGCCAAACACAUCCUCCUCCAUGAGUCUUGCUUUGUGCCCAUCACUGAGCUCCAUGCCCCGGGCGAGCCAUCGUUCCUGCCUGGCGAAGUCCACAAUCCAAUAAGGAGGGAAGGUUGAAGGGAUGAAUCUCAACAGAAUUGUGCACAGUGAAAGAAGCCAAUGAAAGAAGAGUACAUAUUGUAUAAUUCCAUUUAUAGAAAACUCUAGAAAAUGCAAGCUGAUCUACAGUGACAGAAAGCAGAUCCAUGGUUGUUUGGGGAAGUGAGGCAGAAGGAAAGGAUUCAGAGAAGCACAAGGAACCUUUUAGGGUGGUAGACAUGCUUACUAUCUGGUACUGAGAGUUUCUCAUGUCUGCACGUAUCUAAUUGUACACUUUAAAUACACACAGUUUAUUGUAUGUCAAUUAUAUCUCCAUAAAGCUAUUUAAAAAGAGGAACGUAAGUGGGGAAAAGAAUGAAGGAAGUUGGCUGGCGUAUAAUUAAGUAAGUCUGUGAGCAGUCUUAAAGUGGGGACACAAAGUACCAUGGGCACGUAAGAGAAGAAGGUAGAGAUUCAUUCCCAAACGGAAGAGAUCAGGAAGGAGUUCUUAGAACAGGGUUUCAACAAAGCUCAAGGUAUGGAUAAGUAAGGGUCAGGUUAAGAAAGAUUCAGAUGGAAGAUACAGAUAGAGUUUAUUUGGGAAAUAGAGAGUGGAGUAUUAUACACACGCACAAUUCGCCUUUUUACCCAAGUUUUGAAGGACUGAAGUUAAAACUAACAGCAACUAUCCUCUCUUUUCUUCAGAAAUUCAGACACAUGCCCUACUUGGCAGGCAGCUAGUUUUGCUAAUAAGAUUCCUGCCCUUCUCCCUCCCUCUCUGUGCAUCUCAUCCCUUCGGUCCCGCUGAGGCCCCUACCCUCUCGGAUUUCCUCUUUGAACUGAACUGCCAAAUACUUGCCAGCUUCCAGGGCCCUGAGUACCCACAUUUCAGCCUCUUCCAAACCCCAGAGUAAGAAGGAGAUUUGGGGAGUUCUGGGUGGGCAUGUGAUGGGAGACUAGGUCCAACAUAAAAAGAUAUUUCCCUUUUUCUUCCAUACUUUUUGGCUUAGUAAUUGACAUGUGACCAUUGGAGAAUUUUGAAUAGUUUAUUAGAAUACAUUGUGAUAGAGAAGAAGGAAAUUCAAGAAUUGUUACAAUGUUGUACACUGAUUAACUGGCUAAUUUGCUGCAAAACCAAUUCUGAUCACUGCUCUUAUGGUUUGUAAUACAUUAUUUUGGGUUUGGAUGAUCCUGUUAUUCAUAGCUUUACAUAAAGAAAUAUUCCAAUGACAUAUGAAACCCAUAUAUGAAAUUGUGGGUUAGCUCUUGCUUUCAAUUUUGUAUUAUGUUUGUUGAUUUUAAACUGUCUCCUUUCAAAAGUUUCCUUAUUAAUUAAAUAAACCACUCAGCCACAUUCCCC
rnacentral:lncRNA from 10 species